AUUCUAACACAGUAGAGCAACAGGAUUAUCAGUUCUCCACAGCACAACAACAAAGAAAGUUUAGGAGCAGUCACAGAAAAGGCUUCUUCACUCCUUUCUUCACUAAUCUGGACCUCGGGAAAGCUAGGAGCAUUUGGUCCACAGACCUCAUUGAUCUUGCAGGACUGUACCAGUUCAAAAGAUAAAAUGAGAUUCAUUGUCUUGAUCACCAUCAUUGUCACUGUAGCCCUUAUUGGUGGAGGCAGCAGUAUGAUUGCAGAGCCUUCAUCACCGUGUCAGGACAAAAGCCCCAAAAGUCAUUAUAAAGAAUUUCUCAGCAGACACAUCCUUCAAGAGGAAUUUGACAGAAAUUCCCUAGAUGCUUGGAAAAGGUAUUUGAAAAAAGAACACCUCUGGUGCAGAACUACAGUGCAAUCGUUCCUCAAUAAAAGUGAUCUGGAGAACGUGAUCAGAAUCUGCAGCAGAGACGGUCGACGCUUAAGCAAGACGGAUAACUAUGCAGGGAACUUGUGCAUCAGCAACUCAGAAAUGCUGAUAUAUGAAGUCAUAUCCACAAAAAGCAACAAGGAUUG